AGGGGGUUGGGGUUGUUAAAGAAUGUGUGUUUCCAGACAGAUGUGUCUGCCUCCUGGUUUGGAUCCCAUAUAGCGAGGCAUCUUACAAAAUACACUUUAGUCAUCCUGUAAUUGUGAAUGACGACACCUAGUCACGAGCCCUUGGCGCAAAAGUGUCUUGUGAAUGAGCUUCUUCAAACAGGUAAAAGUCAACUUGAGCAUGAUCAACUGCAUUGAUGUCUCAGGUUCCACAAGAGGGAGGGCUCAACAGCAGUAUCUGGAAACAUGAAGAUUGACAAAAGGAUUUAGCUCAGCUGCCAGUCUGUUGCUGCCCCAAGAACUCCUCCUAACUGGGUAUCAGACUGUGAAAAAUUUGGAUGUUUGGAAUCUCUUUUCAUCAAGAAGGAUGAAUCCAUAUAAUGCUGAACUCAUUUAUGUAAUUAGUAUGGAGCUUUGGCCUGUUGCUCACCCAAUGAAAAAAUAAUGUACAAGGGGGAGUCAAGCU